GAAAAACCAGAAAAGAAAUGGGA
rnacentral:rRNA from 3 species